AGCGAACGCUGGCGGCAGGCCUAACACAUGCAAGUCGAACGAACCUUUCGGGGUUAGUGGCGGACGGGUGAGUAACACGUGGGAACGUGCCUUUAGGUUCGGAAUAACUCAGGGAAACUUGUGCUAAUACCGAAUGUGCCCUUCGGGGGAAAGAUUAAUCGCCUUUAGAGCGGCCCGCGUCUGAUUAGCUAGUUGGUUGAGGUAAUGGCUCACCAAGGCGACGAUCAGUAGCUGGUCUGAGAGGAUGAUCAGCCACAUUGGGACUGAGACACGGCCCAAACUCCUACGGGAGGCAGCAGUGGGGAAUCUUGCGCAAUGGGCGAAAGCAUGACGCAGCCAUGCCGCGUGAAUGAUGAAGGUCUUAGGAUUGUAAAAUUCUUUCACCGGGGACGAUAAUGACGGUACCCGGAGAAGAAGCCCCGGCUAACUUCGUG
rnacentral:rRNA from 1 species